AUUGAACGCUGGCGGCAUGCCUUACACAUGCAAGUCGAACGGUAACAGGUCUUCGGAUGCUGACGAGUGGCGAACGGGUGAGUAAUACAUCGGAACGUGCCCAGACGUGGGGGAUAACGAGGCGAAAGCUUUGCUAAUACCGCAUACGAUCUAAGGAUGAAAGCCGGGGACCGCAAGGCCUUGUGCGUUUGGAGCGGCCGAUGGCAGAUUAGGUAGUUGGUGGGAUAAAAGCUUACCAAGCCGACGAUCUGUAGCUGGUCUGAGAGGACGACCAGCCACACUGGGACUGAGACACGGCCCAGACUCCUACGGGAGGCAGCAGUGGGGAAUUUUGGACAAUGGGCGAAAGCCUGAUCCAGCAAUGCCGCGUGCAGGAUGAAGGCCUUCGGGUUGUAAACUGCUUUUGUACGGAACGAAAAGGCUCUGGCUAAUACCUGGGGCACAUGACGGUACCGUAAGAAUAAGCACCGGCUAACUACGUG
rnacentral:rRNA from 1 species